AGGAGUAUCUUCCUGCCUCCUAGGCCCUUGCCCUGUCCUCAGCAAGUCUUCUGUGGACUUUUGGCUAUGGUCACCUCAAAUCGAAAAUACUAUCGGUGCCUCUUGCUGAACUCAAGCUCUGGAGUGGCUCGCAGAGAAACCAGAGAUGUCAACAGGUCCUGCCUCCUAAAAGCACAUUCAACCAUGGACUCAUCAGUGAUUAAUCCAUUGAAGAGUAGUAUGGGUGAUGAUGAUGAUGAUGAUGAUGAUGAUGAUGAUGGUGACUUUGGCAUUGGCUAUGAGAGCCAAAGUUCCUGUGACAACAAAAUGGAGCAAGAAUUGACUGAUACAGACACAGGAAAUGCAGACCUCCUUGAUUCAAAUGUCGAAGAAAAUAGCAACACUUUUUACACCAAAAAAAAGUUAAUGGAGCACCUAGAAGGAAGCUCCCCCACUGCCAUCCCAAGCUCCUAGGUCGGAGAAGGUGAGCCAGUCCCAGAACCCAGAAGGAAGCCCCCCUGCCACCAUGCCAAGCUCCUAGGGCAGAGAAGGUGAGCUGCAUGGGCACCAGAAGCACCCCUCCCCCCUGUGGAAAUGAGAAGACACGAAAACAAGCCUCAAAAACAGACUUCCAGAUCACCUACAGCAACCUCAAAGGCAAACGAGAUGGAACAAUCUGAUACUCAACCACCUGGACUCUCUGAACUGGCAACAAAAGAAGAUCUGGGAAAAAUGAAAUCAGAAAUAAUUACUCAGAUAACAGCAAAGAUUUUGCUCAUGGUGCAAGACAUGAUUAAUAAAUCUAGAGAGGACACAGAUAAAAA
ensembl:lncRNA